rnacentral:rRNA from 1 species
UACGGGGGGGGCAAGCGUUGUUCGGAAUUACUGGGCGUAAAGGGCUCGUAGGCGGCCAACUAAGUCAGACGUGAAAUCCCUCGGCUUAACCGGGGAACUGCGUCUGAUACUGGAUGGCUUGAGUUCGGUAGGGGAGUGGGGAAUUCCUAGUGUAGCGGUGAAAUGCGCAGAUAUUAGGAGGAACACCGGUGGCGAAGGCGCCACUCUGGGCCGAAACUGACGCUGAGGAGCGAAAGCAUGGGUAGCAAACAGG